rnacentral:rRNA from 1 species
UACGGAGGGUGCAAGCGUUAUCCGGAUUUACUGGGUUUAAAGGGAGCGUAGGUGGGUCGGUAAGUCAGUGGUGAAAUCUUCGAGCUUAACUCGGAAACUGCCAUUGAUACUAUCGAUCUUGAAUUAUCUGGAGGUAAGCGGAAUAAUGUCAUGUAGCGGUGAAAUGCUUAGAUAUGACAUAGAACACCCAUGCGAAGGCAGCUUACUACGGAUAUAUUGACACUGAGGCUCGAAAAGCGUGGGGGAUCAAAACAGG